GGAGUUGUGGCUCAGUGGUAUAGUACUUGCCUGGCAUGUAUGAGACCCUGGGUUUGAUCCUCAGCACCA
rnacentral:tRNA from 1 species